AGAAAGUUCAAGAUUAUUACUUAUGCAUAUUUCCUACAUCUUUCAACGAAAAUGUGCAAGAUACUUUAAGAAAAAUGAAAAAAUUGAAGACAACAGAUAAUUAUCAACAGAAAAAAUUACAAGGCCUGUACACAGGCAUAUGAAGAAAGAAAAAAUGUGGCAAGAAACUAUUCCCUUUUAUCACAUAAAUCUCAAUGCCAAAGAUUCCUAACAUAAAACCAUAGUAAAAACAAUAUGCAACAUUCUGCGCUAAUUUAGCUGUCUUUCUUGACAUCACUUGAAAAAAAGGAAGAAAAUGAUAUGAAAGAACCAGAGACACCAUAUAUUGAGAAGAUUUUCAUCCAUACAGCAAUUGAGCAGCAUGUCUAUCAGGCUUUUUCUUUCUUUUUGAAGAGAGCAACUUCAUAGACCUAAAGAUAAACACGGAAGAUAGUAAUAGCCAAAAGUCCUUUCAUACUGCUAUUUUUGAACUGAAACUUGAUAAAUAUUGAAAGUUGAAGUGUCUAAAGUAAACAAAUAACAAGAUUAAAAAUAUUCCCACAGAUUACCAAAUAUGGGUCAAAUGGCUUUGUCUCAUUCCAUCACAACUUUGGCCCCAACAGCUUUCAUCUUCUCAAUUAUUUGCUCACCUUCUUCCUUUGAUACUCCUGUUUUCAGCACUGAUGGCGUCUUCUCUACCAAAUCCUUGGCUUCCUUAAGACCCAAAUCAGUAAAACUCCUAACCUCCUUGAUUAUCUUAAUCUUUGAAGCUGCUUCAUAUGACUCCAAUUUCAAUUCGAAAACAGUCUUCUCUGGCUUCUUUUCUUCCUUGGCAGCUGCAGUUGGAGCCUUCAUUGCCAUUCCAGCCAAUCCAGCAGCACCAGCCUUCACAACCCCCACAACUGGUAACUCUGUCAUUCCCUUCUUUCUCAUUAUAAUGGAACUUAGCUCAGCAACCUCCACCAGCGUGAGCCCUGCAAUUUCAUUAACAAGCCUAAAAACACGCUCUGUUGGAGGACUGCGAUGCUCUGUGGGAUCAAAAGUAGCAGGAUCAUAAUCAGCUGGAAGCCUCCUCUGAUCAAUUUCAACCUCUUCUUCCUCUUCCUGAGUUUCCCUUGCAGGUUGGGCAUAUCCAUGAGACGACACCCCAUUCAUAUUCGUGAAAUUCAAUAGGACCAGUGGCCGAAAGAAGGGUUUUGUAGAAAACCCAUUUGGUAUAUGAUGCCUUAAUCUUAAAAUCAAGUUCAUUUGCAAAAUUUACUACCGCAGUCUAUUUUCCUUUAAUCAAAAACCCAAUCUAUAUGGAACCCAUUCUCGAAGCUAUCAUUUAAGGAAAGUAUAUGACCUGAAAUCCCAAUAAAAAUUCAUUACAAAAACAUAAAUGAACAAAAAAACAGUAAAUAGACAAGCAAAAAGAAAGAUUUGCAGUAAGAUUAGAAUCAUAAUUUACAGAUUCAAAACUUGCUAUGCGUUAUUUGUGUAUAAACACAUAAUCCGAGAGUUCAGAAAACUAAGGAAAUCAGAAGUUAAGAAGUAGUGGCGAGUCAGAUAUUGCUCUUAUAUGAUCAUGAUAUAGUAUAAUACAGAAGAGAACAAAGAGAGGAUAAGGAAAUCUUCAGAAACAACCUUCGUAGUGGUCGGUGGAGACUGGAGAGUGUUGAGGAAGGUUGAAGUAGGUCUGUGCGGUGGUUCGGUCGCCAGCAAGGGCAGGAGCACAACGGCGGAAGUCGGAGAAAAGAGCUAGCAGGGAAAACGAAAGGGCGUACAGAGGGUUAGGAAGGAAGAAAACGGUGCCGUAUUUUAGUAAUAAAGAAAAAU
rnacentral:misc_RNA from 1 species